UACGUAGGGUGCGAGCGUUAAUCGGAACUACUGGGCGUAAAGCGUGCGUAGGCGGUUCCUCAAGUCCGUUGUGAAAGCCCCGGGCUCAACCUGGGAAUGGCAGUGGAAACUAGGGGACUGGAAUCUGGCAGAGGGGGGUGGAAUGCCGCGUGUAGCAGUGAAAUGCGUAGAGAUGCGGCGGAACACCGAUGGCGAAGGCAGCCCCCUGGGCUGAGAUUGACGCUCAGGCACGAAAGCGUGGGGAGCAAACAGG
rnacentral:rRNA from 1 species